CCUACGGGUGGCAGCAGUGAGGAAUAUUGCUCAAUGGGCGCGAGCCUGAACCAGCCACGUAGCGUGAAGGAUGACUGCCCUACGGGUUGUAAACUUCUUUUAUAAAGGAAUACAGUGAGGCACGUAUGCCUUUUUGUAUGUACUUUAUGAAUAAGGAUCGGCUAACUCCGUGCCAGCAGACGCGGUAAUACGGAGGAUACGAGCGUUAUCCGGAUUGGUUGGGUUUAAAGGGAGCGUAGAUGGGUUGUUAAGUCAGGUGUGAAAGUUUGCGGCUCAACCGUAAAAUUGCAAUUGAUACUGGCAGUCUUGAGUACAGUUGAGGUAGGCGGAAUUCGUGGUGUAGCGGUGAAAUGCGUAGAUAUCACGAAGAACUCCGAUGGCGAAGGCAGCUUACUAAACUGCCACUGACACUGAUGCUCGAAAGUGUGGGUAUCAAACAGGAUUAGAUACCCGGGUAGUC
rnacentral:rRNA from 1 species